rnacentral:rRNA from 1 species
UACGUAGGGGGCAAGCGUUGUCCGGAUUUAUUGGGCGUAAAGAGCGUGUAGGCGGGUUGGUAGGUCCGCUGUGAAAACUCGAGGCUCAACCUCGAGACGCCGGUGGAAACCAUCAGGCUAGAGUCCGGAAGAGGAGAGUGGAAUUCCUGGUGUAGCGGUGAAAUGCGUAGAUAUCAGGAGGAACACCGGUGGCGAAGGCGGGUCUCUGGGCCGAUACUGACGCUGAGGAGCGAAAGCGUGGGGAGCGAACAGG